GUAAAGUUUAAGAACGCAAAUCUGGUUUUGGAGAUAGAUGAUCUUGUUGACUUUCCACAGCUUUGAUCUCGAACUGGUUUGGAAUUCUGAGCGAGGGAUAUUAGAGUUCCUUGGUUGUGCAGUCUGCAUUCUUCUCUGCUUGUUUCUUCUGCACGGCAGGCAGGCACGAGGUAAAGGUGUUGGUCUGUUUCUUUGUUCAAUCUGUCCAAGUGCCGACCAUUUGCUUUCUUUCUCCUUGUCCCUAGCUAAGGAUAAAUUAGCAAUUGUCUCCACAUGCUUCGAGGUAUCAUUUUCACUUCCCUUAUCUGUUCCCC
rnacentral:lncRNA from 1 species